GAUGAACGCUAGCGGCAGGCUUAACACAUGCAAGUCGAGGGGUAUAGGAAGCUUGCUUCCUAGAGACCGGCGCACGGGUGCGUAACGCGUAUGCAAUCUACCUUUUACAGAGGGAUAGCCCAGAGAAAUUUGGAUUAAUACCUCAUAGUAUCUUUGCCUGGCAUCAGGUGAUUAUUAAAGUUCCAACGGUAAAAGAUGAGCAUGCGUCCUAUUAGCUAGAUGGUAAGGUAACGGCUUACCAUGGCGACGAUAGGUAGGGGUCCUGAGAGGGAGAUCCCCCACACUGGUACUGAGACACGGACCAGACUCCUACGGGAGGCAGCAGUGAGGAAUAUUGGACAAUGGGCGCAAGCCUGAUCCAGCCAUGCCGCGUGCAGGAAGAAGCAUCUAUGGUGUGUAAACUGCUUUUGUACGGGAAGAAACACUCCUACGUGUAGGAGCUUGACGGUACCGUAAGAAUAAGGAUCGGCUAACUCCGUGCCAGCCGCCGCCGUAAAAC
rnacentral:rRNA from 1 species